UAAUCAAUACCAUCUGUGUUAAGAUGUCGGGAAUGUGUUAGACGAAUGAUUUUGUUUUAUGGAGCUUUGAAGAGCGAUGAAUGGCACUAAAGUGGUGCCAAAUGGAUAUCUCAAACACCCAUUGUUGAUGUGUGAUGCUGAUAAUACAGAGACAGCUAGAGUGACAGAGUUUGAUGAAUAAACUUAAAUUAAAAAACAGAAAUAACCACCAUCUCUCUCAGAGGUCAUCUUUCUCAUUAUUGUGGGGAAACCUCAAAGGGCAUCAGGAAAACCUUCAUCAACCUCUUUGUGCCCAGUGGCUUGUGCAACAGUGUUUCAGAAAUUAUCAUUAAAAUGGGGAUAAUGGAUGACUGGCCACACAUAUGGGGCUAUGGACAAGCUUCAGAGCAGGCUGCCAGGUGGUGGUGUUAGUAGUUUAUACUCCGGGUCCCGGCGUGAGCACAUUGAAGGGUCCCAGAGUGACAGUUCAACCACCGCACACCUAUCCUGGGCAGAACCAGUACUAGGUGCCUUCACCUCUGCAAGGAACUGACAGCUUCUGUACAUGCCAGGUGCAGUGGUACAGUGCGAAUGGUCGUAGAAAGGAUUUCAUAACCAAUCACAACAGAGGUGACCUGGUCCGCCCGGGAAUCGAACCCGGGAUGUCCAAUUCAGAGUCCAACGCUCUACCGAUUGAGCUGACCGGGCGGACAUAUUAGCUACAUUAGAUGACAAGCCAUCUAUGCUGGACAUUCUUCACAAUAAAAUGUGAUGUCACAGGAGCUGUCUAUCUCAACAGCUCACACUGUCCGUAUUUGACUAAAGGAAUGAAUGAAGUCACUGCAGAAGUUAGAUUGAGGAAUGUCCAUGUCACUACCCAUCAUUUGGAAGGAGUUGGAUAAAAAAAGUGUGGCCUAUGUAU